UACGUAGGGUGCAGGCGUUACUCGGAAUUACUGGGCGUAAAGCGUGCGCAGGCGGUUUGCUAAGACAGGUGUGAAAUCCCCGGGCUUAACCUGGGAACUGCGCUUGUUACUGGCAGGCUUGAGUGUGGCAGAGGGGGGUGGAAUUCCACGUGUAGCAGUGAAAUGCGUAGAGAUGUGGAGGAACACCGAUGGCGAAGGCAGCCCCCUGGGCUAACACUGACGCUCAUGCACGAAAGCGUGGGGAGCAAACAGG
rnacentral:rRNA from 1 species